rnacentral:rRNA from 1 species
GUGCCAGCAGCCGCGGUAAUACGGGGGGGGCAAGCGUUGUUCGGAAUUACUGGGCGUAAAGGGCUCGUAGGCGGCCAACUAAGUCAAACGUGAAAUCCCUCGGCUUAACCGGGGAACUGCGCUUGAUACUGGAUGGCUUGAGAUUGGGAGAGGGAUGCGGAAUUCCAGGUGUAGCGGUGAAAUGCGUAGAUAUCUGGAGGAACACCGGUGGCGAAGGCGGCAUCCUGGACCAACACUGACGCUGAGUGAGCGAAAGCCAGGGGAGCAAACGGGAUUAGAUACCCCGGUAGUCC